GAGUAGGGGGGGUUUUGGGGGGAAUUUGGGGGAUUUGGGUUAAUUUGGGGGGAUUCGAUCGAUUUUGGGGGUAUUUUUGAGUGGUUUUGGGUCAAUUUUGGGGGGAAUUGGGGGUUUUUGGUCAAUUUGGGGGGAUUCCAUCGAUUUUUGGCAGGUUUGGGGUCAAUUUUGAGCGGUUUUGGGUCAAUUUUGUUUUUUUUGGGGAUUCUUAGGACGAAGAGGAGGAGNNNNNNNNNNUUGGGGGGAAUUUGGGGGAUUUGGGUUAAUUUGGGGGGAUUCGAUCGAUUUUGGGGGUAUUUUUGAGUGGUUUUGGGUCAAUUUUGGGGGGAAUUGGGGGUUUUUGGUCAAUUUGGGGGGAUUCCAUCGAUUUUUGGCAGGUUUGGGGUCAAUUUUGAGCGGUUUUGGGUCAAUUUUGUUUUUUUUGGGGAUUCUUAGGACGAAGAGGAGGAGGAGGAGGAGGAUGAGGAAGGGCCAAGCGGGACGAAGGCCCCGGGGCUGGGCGGGGGGCGGCGCUACGUGCCCCCCCGCCUGGUGCCCGUGCAGUACGGUGGCGCCCAAAAAAAGGAAGGUGGUGGCCAAGAGGGGGAAGGGCAGGCGGCGGGGUGGCCGGAGGAGACGCUGAGCCCCCCCGACAGCCCCCCCCAAAUAAAGGCUGUGUCUGCAGAGGAUUCGUUAGUGCUGGGGUUAAUUAAUGGGGGGCUAAUUGGGGCUGCCAGGCCCCAAGGUGGCCGCCCAGCCCUCACCGUUGUUAUGGUGACAGCCCCAAGAUGGCUGCCCCCAUGGGGACAAGAUGGCCGCCU
rnacentral:lncRNA from 1 species